rnacentral:rRNA from 1 species
GCAGUCGAACGAACUCUGGUAUUGAUUGGUGCUUGCAUCAUGAUUUACAUUUGAGUGAGUGGCGAACUGGUGAGUAACACGUGGGAAACCUGCCCAGAAGCGGGGGAUAACACCUGGAAACAGAUGCUAAUACCGCAUAACAACUUGGACCGCAUGGUCCGAGCUUGAAAGAUGGCUUCGGCUAUCACUUUUGGAUGGUCCCGCGGCGUAUUAGCUAGAUGGUGGGGUAACGGCUCACCAUGGCAAUGAUACGUAGCCGACCUGAGAGGGUAAUCGGCCACAUUGGGACUGAGACACGGCCCAAACUCCUACGGGAGGCAGCAGUAGGGAAUCUUCCACAAUGGACGAAAGUCUGAUGGAGCAACGCCGCGUGAGUGAAGAAGGGUUUCGGCUCGUAAAACUCUGUUGUUAAAGAAGAACAUAUCUGAGAGUAACUGUUCAGGUAUUGACGGUAUUUAACCAGAAAGCCACGGCUAACUACGUGCCAGCAGCCGCGGUAAUACGUAGGUGGCAAGCGUUGUCCGGAUUUAUUGGGCGUAAAGCGAGCGCAGGCGGUUUUUUAAGUCUGAUGUGAAAGCCUUCGGCUCAACCGAAGAAGUGCAUCGGAAACUGGGAAACUUGAGUGCAGAAGAGGACAGUGGAACUCCAUGUGUAGCGGUGAAAUGCGUAGAUAUAUGGAAGAACACCAGUGGCGAAGGCGGCUGUCUGGUCUGUAACUGACGCUGAGGCUCGAAAGUAUGGGUAGCAAACAGGAUUAGAUACCCUGGUAGUCCAUACCGUAAACGAUGAAUGCUAAGUGUUGGAGGGUUUCCGCCCUUCAGUGCUGCAGCUAACGCAUUAAGCAUUCCGCCUGGGGAGUACGGCCGCAAGGCUGAAACUCAAAGGAAUUGACGGGGGCCCGCACAAGCGGUGGAGCAUGUGGUUUAAUUCGAAGCUACGCGAAGAACCUUACCAGGUCUUGACAUACUAUGCAAAUCUAAGAGAUUAGACGUUCCCUUCGGGGACAUGGAUACAGGUGGUGCAUGGUUGUCGUCAGCUCGUGUCGUGAGAUGUUGGGUUAAGUCCCGCAACGAGCGCAACCCUUAUUAUCAGUUGCCAGCAUUAAGUUGGGCACUCUGGUGAGACUGCCGGUGACAAACCGGAGGAAGGUGGGGAUGACGUCAAAUCAUCAUGCCCCUUAUGACCUGGGCUACACACGUGCUACAAUGGAUGGUACAACGAGUUGCGAACUCGCGAGAGUAAGCUAAUCUCUUAAAGCCAUUCUCAGUUCGGAUUGUAGGCUGCAACUCGCCUACAUGAAGUCGGAAUCGCUAGUAAUCGCGGAUCAGCAUGCCGCGGUGAAUACGUUCCCGGGCCUUGUACACACCGCCCGUCACACCAUGAGAGUUUGUAACACCCAAAGUCGGU